AUUUUAUAUUUUAGGUUAUUGUUUUGCUCUGGGUAUUAAUUGGACUACUUAAGAGGCACUGAUAUUGGAUGCGAAUGGAUCUUGAUCAUGAGCGGAUUUCAUUGAUAACUUUUCAAGCAGAAGAACAAUUCAACAAAACACUUCAACUCUAAUCAUGCUCUAUUCUUGAAUAUAUCCUGUGAUAUCUUGAAGAAUGAAGAAAAACAGAUGUAUCUACACUGCAUGUAAAGAAAAACAACAAAUGAUGGUGUUUCAUGGUGUGCGUGUUGCUGACAAAAAGAGAAAAAUCGUCCGUGUUGCUACCUUAAUGCUUAGUGCUACGCUUUA